CUCCAAUACAUAACCCCAACCAUAGUCCUAAUAUAUAACCAUGGCUCCAAUACAUAACCCCAACCAUAGUCCUAAUAUAUAACCAUGGCUCCACUACAUCAGACCAACCAUAGUCCUAAUAUAUAACCAUGGCUCCAAUACAUCGCCCCAACCAUAGUCCUAAUAUAUAACCAUGGCUCCAAUACAUCACCCCAACCAUAGUCCUAAUAUAUAACCAUGGCUCCAAUACAUAACCCCAACCAUAGUCCUAAUAUAUAACCAUGGCUCCAAUACAUCACCCCAACCAUAGUCCUAAUAUAUAACCAUGGCUCCAAUACAUCGUCCCAACCAUAGUCCUAAUAUAUAACCAUGGCUCCAAACUAGUCCUAAUAUAUAACCAUGGCUCCAAUACAUCACCCCAACCAUAGUCCUAAUAUAUAACCAUGGCUCCACUACAUCAGACCAACCAUAGUCCUAAUAUAUAACCAUAGCUCCAAUACAUCGCCCCAACCAUAGUCCUAAUAUAUAACAAUGGCUCCAAUACAUCACUGUAACCAUAGUCCUAAUAUAUAACCAUGGCUCCAAUACAUCACCGUAACCAUAGUCCUAAUAUGUAACCAUGGCUCCAAUACAUUACCCCAACCAUAGUCCUAAUAUAUAACCAUGGCUCCACU
rnacentral:lncRNA from 1 species